rnacentral:rRNA from 1 species
CUACGGGGUGCAGCAGUGAGGAAUAUUGGUCAAUGGGCGAAAGCCUGAACCAGCCAUGCCGCGUGAAGGAUGACGGCCCUAUGGGUUGUAAACUUCUUUUAUACGGGAAGAAACACCUCUACGUGUAGAGGUUUGACGGUACCGUACGAAUAAGCAUCGGCUAACUCCGUGCCAGCAGCCGCGGUAAUACGGAGGAUGCAAGCGUUAUCCGUAUUUAUUGGGUUUAAAGGGUACGUAGGCGGAAACUUAAGUCAGUAGUGAAAUCCCGCAGCUUAACUGUGGAACUGUUAUUGAUACUGGGUUUCUUGAAUAUUGUUGAGGUAGGCGGAAUAAGUAAUGUAGCGGUGAAAUGCUUAGAUAUUACUUAGAACACCGAUUGCGAAGGCAGCUUACUAAGCAAUUAUUGACGCUGAGGUACGAAAGCGUGGGGAGCGAACAGGAUUAGAUACCCUCGUAGUC